UGAAAACUUCACGGCUUCUUCUGUGAAAGCUCAGAUUCUAUGAUAGCUUCACUUCACGUUCAACAUAAUCCUUCGUGAGCUAAUUUGUGAUGAAACCAUUUUGCAAAGUUUCCAAUUUGGGAUUAGUGAUUUCUCAAUAACUUCUUUAAGCUUUCUGUUCACUACUCUAUCCUUCGGUCGAUUGCUUUUAUUUAAGAGGUUUUUGGUGGAACAAUUUUUUCAGAGAUUACGAAUUUUAGAUAUAUAUUGUUGAUAGUCUGGACAGCGAAAGGAUAGGGAAAGGAAAGCAGGAAUUUAAGGUGAUAAAAUCUAAAUGUGCAUACAUACACCAUAAUUUUGCAAAUAGAUUUUGAAUAGAUGUAUGGAUUACUUGUUGACAAUCAUAAAUGAUCCAUUUAUGAUUCAUAGUGUCAUCUUGGUGUUUGCCAACAAACAGGACCUGGUAUGUCUUUUUUUGUAACUUUUUGAUCUCUGAUUUUUUGGCUAAAUGACCUGACAUUUAUGGUUAUCUUCAUAAGUGUGGCUGAACAAAAAAAAAGUGUGAUUGAACAAAAAUCUUUUUCUAUUUUCUGGGUAACAUUUUCUGGCUUAGCAAUAUUAGCAGGCUUGUCAUAAGUAAAAGGCCCGAUCUUGUUGAUUUGGGAAUUUUGUUGUCUUUGUGAAGAGUUGUUGUUGUUUCUUCUGAUUUCCUAUGUGGUCAGUGAAAUCUUGAAUGUGCCUUAGUAUGUCGUUGAGGGUUUUCAAGAUUUU